UUUGUACUGUUAGUUAACUAUUGUAAAGUGCUUUUGGUCAAGAGCGCUUUAUAAAAAAAAAAAACUUUAUAACCUUUCAUCGGUCCACCUGAAUGGAGUUCUUGGACCACAGUUUGAGAACUUCUGGACUAGAUGAAAGCUUGUAUUUGCAUUACGCUAAUGUGAAAAAUGUGUAAAAAUAAAAAGUAUAGAUGAUGCAUAAAUGGAAAAAUAAAAGUUAACUUCCUCUGAAGAAACUUAUUCAUUUUGAAAAAAAAAAUUCAUAUAGCUUUGUUUCUACACUUUUUCUUUACAAAAUCAUCAAGUCAUCAUAAGUAAUAUUUUGUAAAGAGGCACUUUCAACUGUCAAUAUUGCCGAACUUGUCAAAUGUUCCUGACUCACUGUAUUUCACAAAUAAUUUUUAAACUUGUUUCAAUACAGAAAAAUAAUGUUCACCAGAAGCAUUUGUGACAGGUAUCGUUAACAAUAUUUUCAGAAUGGUUUCUACAUUUGAAAAGAUUGACUGCAAACCGUCAAGUACAAGACUAUACAAAUCAACUGGUGAUCUUGAAGCACAGACCUCAUCAUUUUCGAUAAAAUGAAUUAAAUGUUUCACUUCAUCUUCAAAAAGGUUUGUGUCUAUGUCCUCUCAGUAGAAUUCACUUAAUUUCUUACUGUAGUGGCUUUUCACAUUUUUGUCCAUACUUCUGUCAAAAAAGACGCAAAAUAAAUCAACAGUUUUCUGUAGAGAUUGUCAUUGUCUCUAGUUUCACCGAAAGAUAACUUCCUGCUUUUUUUACGCUUCUCAUCAGAUAGAUCAGAGGAACCUAUAUUUUCUGUUAAUGUUAGUGCCUCUGCUUUCACUGAGAUAUAGUAAUUUUGAACUUCCAUGACAAAACUUUUAACUGAAGCUAACAAUUGUGUAGCAUUCAAUAAAUUUGUAUCAAUCUUUUGCAAUGAUUUGCUGAUGGCAUUAGUUCUUUGAAGUCCACGGUUCCACAAAAGAGUACAAACAGCAAUAUCGUACUUUUCAAACUUUUCUGCUAAGGAUUUUGCUUCAGUUUUCGCAUGUCGUUUUUCAGAAUUUGAUGUGGCUAUGUCUAAUAAGGUUUUCUUUAUAUCAUCAUAACUCAUUUUCAAAGCCAAAACAGCAUGUGUGCGAGCAGACCACCUGGUGUCACAAAUUCUUUUGACUGUCAAAUGUGUUUCAUUUGUCUGCUCCAAGCUUGAUUGUAGCAUACUCCACCAAUGUGUGGAAACUGAAAAAAGGCAUACAUGUUUUGAACUAAGUAAAAAAAAUUUGUAGAUCCCUCACAAGAUUUGGCUGCUGCACUGCAGAUUAAAUUUAAGGAAUGGCUGGAACAUGGUAUGAAUAAAGCAGAGGGGCUUGCAUUGGCUCAGUCUUGCCUGUAGACCUGAAUAUUUUCCUGCCAUAUUUGCGGCAUUAUCCAAGGUCUGCCUACAACUUUUGAUGUCCAAACCUAAAUUUGCAAUAAUUUCCCAAACAGUUGUCUCUAAACAUUCAGAAGUGUGGGAUUUUAGCAGGACAAAACAAAGAAAUUGCUCUACAACUUCACCAUUGCCGGUCACAUAUCUUAAAAUUAAUGUUAAUUGGUCUAUAUGACUCAUAUCUGGUGUUGAAUCGACUAUUAUGAAAUAGUACUUAACAUCCUUUACUUCAUCAGUGAAUUGGUUUCUGAGCCAUUUCUGCCAUUAUAGUGAUGAAUUCAUUAUAGGUUUGAUGCUUUAAAAAGUUGGUCUUCCCUGAGCCAUAAUACUGAUAAUUUUUCAAAUGUUCUUUGAGAAAAUCAUCAAAUUCACUAAGAUUUUCAAGUCAGGUUAAAAAAAUUACCUUUUCGAUUUGACAAUGACUUAUCAUGUCCUCUUAAAGGUAGUCCCAAAGAAGACAGCAGUUUGACUGUGGCAACAACAUGUCUCAGCACUUUCCUCCAAUAAGAACACUCCUUUUCAAACAGAGCUGAUAACACAGAAUCAAUUCUUCCAGAUAAUUUACACCUUUGAAUGAACUUACACAUAGCAUUAAUAUGAGCUUUGGAAGUUUCAUGAUCAGCAAUAUAUCUUGGAACAUUUCUCCAAUUAGAGUGCCCAUUGAUGAAUGUUUAUUUUCCUUUACUAUGGUCAGGGAAUAAUUUGCAAACAUAACAGUAGAUUGCCUGAGUGGUUUCCAAAAAAAAUCAACCAAAUUUUCAUUUCUGUUGUCCCAUUUUUCUUCAUCUUCAGAAAAUGGGACUCAUGAAGACCUCUAAAAUGCUUUCAUUCUACAACCUCAUACACUUUUCUAAAUUUUCCAUAUGACCUACAUUUUUCAGUUUAUUUACUUUAUCCAAUGAAACAGAUUUUGGCCAUAAUACAAUAAUGUCUUCAGGAUAGGUUUCUUCCCUUACUUUGACAAAAUUACCAAUAUUUUGUAGUUCCAUUGUCAUUUCAGAGUCCACUUGUUCAACUUUUGUAGUCAUUGUGGUAUCCCCACAAUUUGGCAAGUGAUCAGAUAAUUCAGAUGUUUCCUCACCCAUACCUUUUGAUGAAUGUCCACUAUUCAAAACUUUAAGCUUUUUCAAAUAAGAUGACAAACUGUUUUUUGCUUAGCUUCAUCUUCUUCAUCUUUUUGACUGUCAGACUCAUAGUGUUGCUUCAUUAUUGCUAAAAAACUGACCUUGAUUUUAGGCAGAUUAAAAAUGUCUGAAAGAGCAGGGGCAUAGCCACGGGUGGACCUAGGUGGGCCGUGGACCACCCAAUUAAGUGUAACGCAAUUAAUCCGGCUUUUUUUAUGUGGCUCUGUAAAAAUGGGAUUUUGAACCAUUACAUGCUGGUGACAAAUCAUGGGCAUUGUUGCAAAGUGCGUGGGAGGGUGCUUUUGUUCAAUUGGAUAAUUGGUCAAGCAAACAGACUUUGCUUGACAAAUGACGAUUUCCCUUAGUUGCUGUUAUGCUAUUGCUGAGACAGCAAAAAAAUGACAAAGCAAAAGUCUUUGCUAGACUACUUCAAAAAAACACAUUUAGAGGACAUUUCGCAGAGUAAGUUUGCAGAAUGCAGAAAGCCUGGACUGCUUCACGAUUUGCAACGCUUAUUAAAUUCAGUCAUGUGUCAGAUUUGUCCUGCAUUUUGGGGCACCCUAUUGUUGGGGGCCCUGUGCCACUGCACAGUUUGUUUCACAGUAAAUCCGCCACUGCUCGUGGGGGUCACUAAUGGGUAAGGCUGGCUGCAUGAUGAGCAUGGCUUAAAGCCUGGGGACGGGACAUUCCCCGCUCUGAGGCGAAGUCCCAGCUGAGACUUUUACUCCUAAACAACUAUUCUAACACUUAAAUUAAAGGUCUGACUAAGUACCUAUCAACUAACAACGAAGGAGACAGACCAAUGGACUAUAAGAACCGCUAAUGUUCUUGCAAUGCAAGACAAGACGCUCCGACCAACCAUCACCGUCAGUAAGAAGGAACUGAGAGGGCGUAGAGUCGGCAGCAUCUAAUAUACCGACGCAUGAGAGCAGCACUCAAGAGGCGCUACAGCUGACCCUACAGAUACCACUAAGGCAAAAAUCUCCAACAACUGUGCACAUCAGUGUGCGCACACCUAGAAUGGAAUCGACAUGAGCAAACACUCAAAGAAGAAAAUAACUUCCUUUGGCUCUCUUGAUUUUGUAUUUUUAAAAACAAUUUCCUAAAAAUGUUUUGCUGAAAAAUACCAUCUCAUGAGGGAUAACAAUCUUUUCUAUGAAUUGCAGAUGAUGAGCUGAAAUUAACUGAUGAGUAACAGAUGGUUUAACAUAUUAGAACACUUCUUUCUGCAUUCAAAUGUAAAAGCAUUUAAUCCUUUUCUUUUUAACCCUAUCAUAAAUGUGCAGCAAAAGAGGGGAAAGGAUAGCCUCCUCUUGGUACUAGAAUCUGACAUCAUUUACUUUAUGUCCUUUUAUGCCUCUUUAUGAUGUAUAAAAAGACCUUAGGAGGGUGUGUAUUUAAAAAUAGAUUUUUACAUUUUUUUACAUUAAAAAAAAUCAGGUUUGUCUAUUCUGCUAGUUGUAGGAGACUCCAUGGAUGAUUAAAGAACUGAUAUUUAUAUCAGAGGAAUCACACAAUUAAAACUUAAUUGAAAGGGAAAACUCUGAAGCCAGUUCACCUGCACCUGCAAAUGGCACUGGUGAAUUUGGCCCCAAGCCUCAUAUGAAAAAAAUUCCUUUAAAAAAAGAUUAUCCCCCCAACAUUUAAUGUAGAAUCCAAUUUUCUUUUAUUAAGAAUCUCUCUCUCUCUCUCUCUCACACACAUACAUAGUAAUGUACAAUGAAAGUUGAUAUAUGAACUAAUUACUAAGACACGUCAGAAUAAUCUAUUUACUUUUAAGAUCCAGAGACCAUUAUUUAUAACCUAUACCCAGUAUCUCUCCUAUUUGACUGUAUUUGCCAAAUGCUUAUAUAAAAUGUGACAAUGGAUUUUAUCAUUGCAUAUUUGUUUUAAAAAAGUUAUAAUUCAAAGUAUUAUUUUCCCACACCGAAAUUAGGUAUGUUGUGCACAAAUAUAUGUUCAGAAUGAAUAUUAUUCACAAUUUCCGUAAGUCUGUUUAAUGUAAUUCUUCAUUUACUAGAUGAAAGCAAUAAUUUUCUAAAUACCUAAUAUCCAUUUCUGACGUGAAAACUUUAUAAAAGAAGGAUAUACCUAAUAUCCAUUUCUGACGUGAAAACUUUAUAAAAGAAGGAUAUACACAUUAAGUUUAGCACACAUUAACUUGGGCAAAAGCAGCAAACCAGAAGUUCAGCAGAGACUGUUCAGUGAUUUGCCAAGUUUCAGUUUGUGUUGAUGUUAAAUAUGUUUAAAAAACACAGACUUGUUUUUAUUUGCUUAGCAAAGAAAAACAUCCCUGAGCUAAAAGCAAAUGUUAUCAGAAGAGGUGUGAAUGGGUAUUUGCAUACAUAAGUUAUGCCAAUUUAGUAGAAUUAGAAUACUUUUGAAACAUUUAAGAUCCUGAAGACCUUUUCCCUAUUUCCGGUGAUUCCAUUUCUGUGGGAAUGGAAAUGGAAGUGAAGGAGAGCUAGAAAAAGAGAAGAAGUUAGAAUAGAACUCUUGUAAGUUUUUAGUAGCUGAGGCUGAGCGCUACAAAUGGUGUCUUCCUUGCCAAAAGCACAUACAGGCAUUUGGAGCCAAAAAAACUGUUUAAAGCUUUGUGGCAAGAGGUAGGACAAACUAAAAAGAACUACUCCAAUAUGUUUUUCUCCCAAUUUCUAGAUGUAACAGUCUGAAAAAAAGUAAACAGGCUAGAAGUCCAGACUUGCUAUUUAAGUGCUAAGUAUUAUAUUUACGUAGUUAUACAGGACACUUAAGCAGCUAUAACCUUCAUGAGGCAAUCAGAUGCUGAAUUACAUAAUACUCAUUUAACGCUUGUAUCUGUAUAAAAGGAGAGAAUCAGAUCUUUUGCAGUAACAACAAAUAAAUCACUCAACUAUUGUACGUGAAUAGUAGUACAUAAAAUCUGUACAUAGUGGACUAGGACAUCAAUGACUUUUACCCUGAAAUAUUGAUUAUUUUAUAGAAAUAUUGAUUAUUUCAUAGAAACAGAGGCUGGAAAUGGAGAUUUCUUUUUUAAGCACCCAGAAAUGUGCUCGAUCUCUCCAUUCUCCUCAUCCUUUCUUCACUUUCCAUAUCUCUCCUCUUUGUUCCCGUUAGCUACAUGUUACUACCCUCUCUCUUCUCUCAUUUUUGUAUGAAAGAGCUGAAGCUGGGUGAAGCCUGCCUUCACAAAGCAGCUCGAUUACUUCAGAAACCCACAACUCAUUAUAGGAAGGCUGUCACAAAGUGACCAAUCCCAUCUGGGAAAAGAGUGCAGUUUACGGCAGGCUUCAAUCCAUUGAAUAUGGAACAAAUAUGGAACAAAAUAAUCACUGGACUGUGCAGCAGGGUAUAGCAAAAACUAUACAAAAUAUGGAGGUACCUGGGGGUAGUGCCCUUUACAAGCUCUCAGAUAACACGAUGAAGAAUGAAGUAUAACAGGUACUCAGAUAAAAUUGAGGAGUGUAAUGUAAAUGCCUAGAUAAAUUAUAUACAGAGGAACCUACAUGUUCAAAAAGCAAUACAACAGGAUUAAUGAAUGACAAUGGGGAGGCCUUGCUUUUGUGAAUUUGCCUAUUCAUCAUUUUAUUCAAACAAUACAUUUGUAUAUAUUGUAAAAUACACCCUAAAGUAUUCUGCUCUGUGACUAGCUGAAUACUAAAUGCAUCUGAUGAAGUGAGUUGUAGCUCACGAAAGCUUAUGCUCAAAUAAAUUUGUUAGUCUCUAAGGUGCCACAAGUACUCCUUUUCUUUUUGCGAAUACAGACUAACAUGGCUCCUACUCUGAAACCUAGCUGAAUACUGUAUGAGAAUACAGUCACAGUACAUACACAUCCUAAGUUGGCAUCCUAACAGGAAAAUGAUUCAGCCCCAAGUAAUGUCUCUCUAGAUCAUUAAUUAUGAGAAACUAUUUGGGAAUGAAACAUUGAACAAAAUCCAGUCCUUGGGGAUUUGUGUAAAUAAAUAAUAAAUAUGCUUAUUCUUUUGGGGAAGAGAGAUAAAGUAAUUUCAUAGCACUAAAAGGCAUUCACAUACUGUGAACCACUAUGGAUCUGAAAGGAACUGGCAUUUUCACAGUAAAUAGCACUCAAAAUGUAAAGACUUUCUGUUGACAACAUUUCUAUUUGAAGUCAGAUAUUAGAAAUGCAGUGUGCUGGAAAGAUCAAUUUCUCUAUCCUUUUCCUCACUCCCUUCUAUGUGAAUCUGACUGCUGGUGAGAGCUGCAAACCUGAGCCAUGAAGUCCAUUCACACAGAAAAACAGUCUGCAUGAUGAUUUGUGUGGAGUCACUGUCAUCCAAGCCCGCUGCAGUAAGCAGAACAGCCAGUGCCAUGAUGCCAUCUUCCAGGAAGCCAAGAAAGUGCCUCCUUUUCUGGAUCAGAAGAGAUAGCAAGAUGCAAAGUAGAGGGAUGAGGAGAGGAAGGGUCUGGUGCAGGGGAGGCCAAACCCAAGCACCUGUACCCUACAUCAAUCUGGGCAGGUUACCAGCAGCAAGAGAAGUCUGGGGAGCAU